GACAGCCAUGCAACUAUACCAAGCUUUAUUGUAAUGAAACUCCAAACAAUGUCUAUAUACAUCAAGCAAAGCAUGCAACAUGGCAACCUAAAGACUGAUGGUGGGCGGACAUGGAGCAUCAGCAAGUGCACAUGGAUUACCACACACAACUGCAUGCAUAUCGUGUAAUUAUGCAAAAGACAUAUUCUGUAGGAAAAUGUGAAAGCAGAGAAUGGGACACUCUGCUCCAUUCCAAUCUUUUCAGGUGAAUCAAGGGCAGCCACAAAACUACCAGGUUCUUCGUCCUGAAGCACGGGGUUCAACUGAAAACUUCCAAGACCCACAAUGCAACAGCAGUGACAUCCAUAGGAAAUGGACUGGCUUAGCCAGGCAGCUCAGACAAAUAUGUAUAUCAUUAUGAUCACCUCCCAUUUAUAGCCUGGCCUUUUGAGAGGAUAUUGAUCAGGACCGCCAGAAGAGAUAAAUUCAUUCUAAUUAGACUUGGUGACUUGACCACUUAUGCUUUGAGAAUCAGGCUGGAGUCACUCUGAAAGGAGAUGAUCCCUCUUCUAUUCGGACAAAGCCUCUGUCAAAAACAGACAGAAAAUAUGCUCUGGUGGUUGAGUUGGUGGCAAUUGUACAGAGCUAGAUGCUCAUAAUUUUGGUAAUUUUGUAGGCUUCACAAUAGAGACACCAGGUAGCUGCACUAGAUUGCAGUGAAUACAUGGCAAGGCCAGAGCAAAGUGCCUCUUUGCCCCUAGCCAGGAUGCACCAGCCUCCUGCCCAAGUUCUCUAGCAUGCACAAGUCAUGUUUAUUUCACACAUCAAUUUCUAGAUGGGAGGAGAUGGGCAACUGAAAAAAAAAUACAACUCAGACUUGCUGUCUCUCUUCCCUCACAUUGAUGCAGUUUGGUCAUCCACUUUCAAUAUAUUCUGUAUCUUUUGGUGCUGUAUUGAAAGGAAUAGGGGGAAGAGUGGGAGGAGGAGCUCAGGGGGUAGGCUCUGAGGUACCAGGUGCUCUUAGGACUUGAGAUAAGCUCUCUGGCAUGUCUGCUGUGUGUCCAGGGCCUCUGUCAUAACUGCUAAUUUUUAUUAACAAAAGUAGACUCCUUUCCAAGUGGAAUAGUAAGCAGCUCUAAUAGAGUGACUGGCAUCCACUUUCUCUUUUCUGUCUUUAUCUCUAAUGCUUUUUCUGCCUUCCCCUCAAUGCCUCAGCACAGGUUAGGACUGAAGCCAUUCAUUCGCUGGGCAAAGGUUCCGAGAAGAGCUGCCUCAAGAGCAUUAGUGAGUCACAGUAUGACUGUCUCCUUUUAGGCAAAAUUCACGACAAACAAAAUUCUGCACUCAUCUAGCUUCAUGGUGCCUGGAGAAGCAAGCAGGCUCUUAGCCUGGAACACAGCAAUAAGUGCCAGAGGUUGACACACUGAAGCAGAAUUCGAAAGGAACACGUCUGCAGCUGAACUGUUCCUACAGUAGCGUUGGCGGCAUCUGUUCUCCAUUCCAUGCAUGGUGUUCUCUGCCACGAACAUUGCUCCUGACAUCCAUGUGGAUGUCUGCCACGUGUCAGUUAUUGGCUGGGGACCAGGAAGCAUUCUUAGCAUGUCAACAUCUUGGUAAAAUUGUCAGCAAUUUAUGACUCAUUACAUGUGAAUAUGCUGUGAGUUUUCCUGAUUGACCCACAUUCCAGGGCUGCAAACACGGUAGAGGAGUAGGGGUAGAAAUGUACAACCCAGAAGCCUGACAUUGCACAGGGCAUGAUCCGAGUUUGGGGAAAGGUCUAACAACCUGAUGACUAAUGAUGAGGAUAUUAGGAUGCAUUGAAACUAUGUAGGCUAUUUAGGGGGAGGAAGAAGAAAGGCUCUGAAGAACAUCUCUAAGUUAUUUUUCAUAAGCAUCACUACAAUUGCAUUUAAGCAACUUCUCCAUCUUUUCAGAGGACCACCUAGCAACACUGUUAUCUUUCAAUCCUGGGGACUUGGUUGUGGUGUGGCCGUUGCUUGGCUUCCUCCAGUAGUCACUGGUAUUACUGAAGAUUCCAGCCUGUGUCACUUUCAUCUUUAAAAGUCUUUCUUGAUCCCCAGAUCAUUAAUUAAUCCACAUAUCUUACAGUGUUUUUCUAAAUUUGCAAGCACAGAUUUUCACAUUAUUAUACAAUCAUCUGCCUUCUUUACUAAGCUGCAAGGAAUGAGUUUGUUUAUGCUUAUUGGUAAUUCCCCGCAAUAAGUAGUGAACUUCACAUAUGGCGAUAUGUUUCAUAAAGAUGAGCUCAUGACCUAAUAGAUGCAUGAACAAAUACACAGAGAACAUUACCAGAUUGUGUCAGGAAUAUGAAUUCUUAUUUAUAGGCUUUUUACCAAUUCUAUGAAAAUACCUAUAAAAUACUUUAUACAUAUUUGGAACAAGUAUUAAAAAUCAUUUUCUCUCUGUCAGUCCCAAAUCCCUAGCUGAAGGUAUAAGGGGGAAAAUCAAAUUAUAGUAUAUGCAUUGCUGCUGCUGCUGCUGCUGCUAUUAUUAUUGUCAGUUUUGGUGGUCUGAGGGACAGAGGUUUGUGCAGGGAUUUAACUCUUUCUGAUACUAUUUGCAGUAGAACCAGAGAGUAGCUGUGGUCUGUGGAUGGAGCAUCCAUCUGGCAGUUCCUGACUCUCUUCUAGAUGAUAAAGGUAACUGUGUGUGGGCCAAUAACUCAGCCACCUCUCACCCCCACCCAAGAGCCCACAGGAACUCUUCCCCAACACAAACAGCAACACACUCCAGUUCAGGCUUAGCACCAACUGAGCCUGGGAAUCACCAGGUCCCUUCAUCACAAAGCAGCAUAAAGUGGCUCUUCAUAGAUCGUGGAUUCAAUAUCAAACCCAGGAUGAUCGUGGCUGUCACAUAAUGUCAAAGAGUUUCUCACUUCAGCUGUCACUUAUGAAUCAGGGACAUGUGCAGGGUGCUCCUCGGGUAGUUUUAGGGCAGAGUCAGAUGCCCCAGAGGGCAUAUAGAACAGAGUAAAACCACAAAUGUCCAACCAAAAUGCUCUAGAAAAUAAGUCAGCAAUACUUGCAUUGCAUGGAACACAACUAUGAACCAUCGUUCUGUUCCUGCCAUGUUUCAGGGAGGUACAACUUACCCAUCCACAGCCACUGCAACCUGGGUUCAAGAACAGCCAUAUAAGAAAUUGAGGCUUUACAUGGUGUGUAUAAAGAAGCUAGGUCUAUAGUUAGCUCCCUCCAUUUGCUGUUUUGUUUUGGAGUUAAGAAUCUACCUCUCUAUCUUGGAUACUAUUCAUUAGAAAAGCUAUUGAUCUUUCUAGCCCAAAGAUCAAAUCCUUUAACAAGAAAGCAGAGAGACAAGGAAACUAAGUACUUGUCAAAUAAAGAAAGAUGGAACAUUGAGACGAGUGUCUCAUUACUAAAUCCUCCAGGAAAUUCCUGCCUAGUCUUGAACACUCAUUUCGGGUGGAAGGUCAAGGAGAGAAUGGACAUUUAAAGCUUAUUAAAGGAACUAACAAUACAGAAGACCUUCAACCAAAUUACUCACUUAGUCCCAAAUUCAAACCUGCAUUUUCCAUUGGUUCAAUUUGUUCUGCAUUUUCUAAACAAACACUGCCAACCAUGUUGUCUAUGCUUAAGCAGAUCGCAUCCACCUUCAUAACUAUCAAUUGGCUUGGCUUUAUUUUCUGUGAAGGGUAAUCCCAGCCAACAACUCCAAGUUUAAAAAGGGAGUUCAUCUUUGGUCACUGACAGCUUCCAGGCUCCUCUCCUAACAACAGUGACCCAGAAAAUGUUAUUUAGACUUUAUAUAGGCCAAGUUGUGCAGGUUCGUGGGACGGUGCAUGCCCAGCAAACUCUGGCUUGAGUGGCUGAACUCAAAUGGUCAGCAUAGCCCUAAUCUGUCCUGUUCUGUAUUUUCUAGAAAGUUCUUUUCCUUUGGCAGCAUACUCUAUCAGAAAAAUCUACCCACACAGAGUGAAGUGAGAGGCUCUAUACAGAAAUUAUUCUUUACUCAUAGACUCAACCUUUUUCUAUAAAAGGAGUAAAUCCUUCAGGCUUAUGGUCCAGUGGGGCUCAGGGGCAGGCUACCUACCUGCCAUUGGGACAAGAUAGCAAUGACAAUAAAGACACAGAAGUGGGUGGCUCUGGCUGUGUCCUAAGACAACUUUUCAUAGAUGAAUAUAAGUACAUGGUUCUAGACAAAGGCUGUGUUUGCUGUCCAUAGUCCUUGCAUUUGCUUUAAUGACAGACAUUUCAGAACAGCACAGAACUGGGAAACUCUGGGCAACAGACAUUUAUCCUCAGUGUGUGAUGACAUAAGCUGACCAGGGUCCACAACCCAUGUAAGGUCUGAGUGUUGAAGGUCUUAUCAUAUUUUUUGCAGACUGACAUUAUUUAUCAGGAAAAAAAAUCCAAAGAUUUUAAAGGGCACAUUAGACAAAUUUUGAAGAAAAAAAAUUUUAUGUCCACAUAACCCUAACCCAAGAAACAGAACAUUCCUACCACCCUGUGACAUUUCUGUGACCCCCCGAAGAAGUCCUGAUACCCAUCACGGUAGCUUAAAUUGUCUGUUUAUGUGAGACAAUCUUCUAUUGGAGACUGAGUUGGCCUCUGAGGCUGUGUCCCUACGAAAGACCUUGAACUUCUGAUCCUCCAGCCUACACAUCCCUAGUGCUAGGAUUGCAAGCACGCACCUCCUCACCAGUUCAUGCCCUCUUGUAAAUCAAACCUAGAGCCUCAUGCAUGCUAAGCACUCUACCAAUUAGCUGCAUUCCCAGCCCACAACAGCUUAGUUUAAUCUAUUAUGGGAUGCACCCAAAUGGAACCACAUGCAGUAGACUCUGAGGCACUGUGCCUUCAUUCAGUUUAUUGUGUUUGCAAUCCAGCCAUGUGCCACUGCAGCUAUUUGCACCCAUUCCUUUUGAUUGUUAUGCUCCACACUUGUGCAGACACUCUGCAAUCCAUCCCUAUCUCUUCACAAGGGCACCUUGCCUCUGGCCCAUAAAAUCAUCUCAAGUCAAAGAAGAAAUACCUUAAGAGGUGCCUACAUUGAAAACACAUUCUGGCACCUAUGCUACAUUCAGAUUUCUAUGUCAACAAAGUUAAUCCCCUACGCCACCCCCCACACACCAAAAUGGCCAUCUUGGCUCAGGGAGAAAUGUGCAGCACAGUGCCACUAAUAAAUAAUUCUUUUAUCACUAGAAUCCCAAGUAGGCUGCCCUGGCAAAUCCUGUAGAGCCCAUGAAUGUGUGUCUUCCAAGAUUUUCAUGUCUAUGUGAUGGACAGGCCUGUGGCAUUUCCUUUGCUGACACUGGACUGUGAGGCUGGACUGCAUAAUUAACACCCAUGGUUAUUUCUCAAUGCUUGCACCUGCCUCUCUUAAUUUAAUUAUCUCCCCAUUUCUACAAUUCACUGCACACUGGUGAUGACUCCACCUGGCCAUCCUUGCCCUGAAUCUCAACUCGCCUGCAGGACUUUUCAUCUAGAAAUAAUUAGGAACACAGGGUCCUCUGUCUCGUGGCCAAGUCAGCCAUGAACACUCCUAGACCAAGAGGGAAGUUUUAUCUUCAACAAAUGGGAGUCAGCUCACAGCCGUGUUAAAGGGACAGCGUUGACAUCUAAGCCUUUCUGCCUUGCUCAGAGCUACCGAAGAGAACAUGGUGAUGACCUUUCAGAAUGCUUAGAACACUCUGGUUCUGGGAAUAUUCUUUUCCCUAAGCUUGCUCGUGGUAAAGAGGAAAAUGACUUGAAAUCAUCCCACAGCAAACCCACGGCAAUAAGCUGCCAUUGACAUCCACUCUGGGGACACACAGGGACAAAGCAGAGAGCAAUCUGGAGAAGACUAGGGUCUUAUUCAUAGAUCUUUGUUCACCCUUGCAGCUAGUAUUUAUGUUUCUAAUAAUAUUCACGAGAGCACUAACCAAGGGACAAUCUCGAAAGGCUCUCCAUUUGCUUGUGUCUGUCUUUUUGGCUUCUUGUUGACUGUGGCCACUGAGAGCGUAAAACAGUGUCCUCAAAUUGGCAGUUUCAGUAACAAGGAAUAAAAUUAUAAGUAAAAUACUGAAAUGAUAAGAACUCUUAGUUGGAUUAAGUAAUGCCCUCCACAAGGCUUGCUGACAUUCCUUCCUCUCACCCCUACAGAGCUUUUAGAGUGUUCUUUUGUCGGGGGAAUCUCUCUUGAUCACUCCUGCCUGUCUGCAUAUAUGGACACCUAGCAGUGCAUACUCAUUUUCAUGCCCAUAAAUAUAUAUGAUACAUACAUAAAUAUAAAUGCAAAGAAAGGUAAAAUGACUGGGUUUUCAUUAUCAGAUCUGAACGAGAAGGCAAGACUGUAUACAACACCCGUUCUUCACUUCACUCUCUUUCCAGACACCCAAAAGAACUUUCUAGUCAGAGGUAUAAGAACUUUGGAGAUUGGGUUCAUUUUAAAAGUCCUUCUUUGCUCCCAUGGCAAAUUAUGGAUCACUUCAGCAAAGUGGAAAAAAAAUACUCUAGAACACUCAGGUAGGCUUUGCUAGGCUCCUGUGAUUUUCAAACAUGUCUGAACAUUCUCUGAAGAAUGUGCAGAGCCCCAACCCAUGGACACCUCUGUUUGCCCUCCUAUCUCAUUUUAGCCAGAGGCCCAGCUAAGGUGGGUGAGGAUAAAUGCAACACUGAUUCUUGGUUUGACAUGCAAUUUUAUUUCCAAGCCUCCACAAGGAGAUGGCCACAAUGGACUGCCCAUGAUUUAUAAUGGCUGUCAAGGAGCUGAGUGUGUUGCUUCCUCCCCUCACAUGCUGAGGCUAUCUGCCAAACAAAUGAAACAGUGUCAUGAACUCUGUAACUUGUCUAGAAGCAAUCUGUCUUCUCAGGUCAGAGGCUGUGACCAUAGGUAUUCUCUUUGGUCUCUGCCCACCCUGCCUCUACGUUAAGCUCUCGUUAUGGGAAAGGGGUGUAGGCUCUGGGAGACUGACAGGAAAGCUUGCAAGGUAAUUCCAACCCCUUCCAGUUUUCUUUCUCCACCGACUUCACUGCACACUCUGCACCACAGGAUUAGUGUGGGCUGUUCACCUGCUGGAGCAUGCUCUGCCCUGACUUCGCAGAGCCUGAUAAGAACCCUUGCCCUUGGAAGGAAAAUGCCAAGCCAUGGUGUCCAAGAAUUCAGAGUUUCAAUGAGUUAUCCCAGUGACAGACUCUUAAAGGAGGUUUCAGAAUAGGUGAUGAUGUUGCAAUGUAAUCGCAUACUAACACAGAGAUGGGGAGGCUACCUCAGGAAGUAUAUUCUCUUAUUUCUGGUUUACUACAAAGACAGGCAAGGUUCUUUGAACUGGUGUGUUAGUUUGAAUAAGAAUAACCCCCAUAUAUUCAUAUAUUUGAAUAGUUAACUUGGUACCCAGUUGGUGGAACUGUUUGGGAAGAAUCAGGAGGUGUGGCCUUGGAGGAAGAGGACAUGUAUCUCAGGGGGAACAUAGUGGGGCUUUGAGCUUUCAAAAGCCCACAAUAUUCUUGAUUAGCCCUUUUUUUUGCCUCCUUGCAGAUAAGGAUAUAAGCUCUCACUACCACCCCAGUUUCUGUCUGCCACCAUGCUCCCCACCAUAAUGAGCAUAUAUUUGCUCCCCGAAGUAGCAUGCAAGCCUCCAAUAAACUCUUUCUUCAUAAUGUAUCUUCACAGCAAUACAGAAGUAACUAAGACAGGUGGCCAGAGGAAGCCCUCAGGCAAAGGACUGCUGCUGUCCUGAGGUAUGGUUGAAAGAAAUCCAUAGGACUGUGGAAGUUCUUGAGGCUGAUAUCUGCUCAUUGACUAGAGAUGUGACAGCCAUAUGUCUGACUUUCUGUAACACACACCUCUGUUCUCAUCUAGAAAACAGCACCCGCAUACCUCCGCCAUGUGAAGGUGGAUAGAUGACUGUGAACCCACUGUGGGAAAAGCAUGGUAAGAUUGCCACGUGGCCUCAAGAGGAGGUUCACUCAAUAGUCAGGAUUCUACUGAAAACAUGAGAGGGUACUCGGCAUAAUUUUCAAAGGGCUAAGAACUUGCCUACUGCUCAGCCUGCUUUUUGAAGACCUCAAGUGAAUCCAACCUGGCACCCAUCAGGGUUCCAGCUUGGAGAAACCAUGUCACUAUAGCAGGGCUAUGUUUACUCUGUGUGACCAGAAAGAAAAGGCCCUUGAGCAGCUUGGGGACAACAGUCCAUCCUAACCUCUCUCAGUCCACUCCAGAGUGGUAUUUUGAGAUUUGAACUCUUUUCUUGGGGCCAGAUAAGCAGAUAAACUGGGAGGUUUUGUUGGUUUUGAAGCAUGACUGAGAGUCUUUACUUUGCUCUCUGAGUACAGGAUGAAGUGUCACUUUACACUUCCUUAGGCUGAGGUCGUGCGUGCGCAUGCGUAUGCAUGUGCGAGUGUGUGUGUGAAGUAGCUCAAUGUGAAGCUAUGUAGCCCAGGAUCCCACAGACAGUGCCCGUUCCGUACUAGGUCCUUAAGCAAAGACAUUUCAGCAUCAAAGUGUCCGUGCUUCCUUAGAAAACAAUGGUGUGGAAAUCUGAUUCCAAUAGGCAGUCAAUAACUACACGGAUGAAUAAUUAUUUAAGCUGAGGCCCAAACCCACCCAGGAGAUUCUAAACGAAGUAGUGACUAAGCCCAAGAGGGAUUUUGGAUGGCUAGAUAGACAACUCUUUUUCCACACACACCACUCACGCACCUUGCCUAGCUUCAUACCAGCUUUAAGAUGACUUUAGCAGAAACUUACACACUCAGGAGUCUACCCUCUCAAAAAAAAAAAAAUGACAGUUAGUCAAAGAUAAAGGUCUUCCUCCACCUUAUGUUUUCCCAUCACAUCUGUCUAGACAAUAACUUUCUAACCUAGGACACGGGGCCUGGGGCUAUAUAGGAUAACCUGAAUGCUUCCAAGUACUGUGCAAAAUUUAAGUCCAAAUUAAUAGUCAUUAUAAUCAGUUUAUUUGUGAGACCCCAGAAGUCAGAAACUACCAUCCUAGUCUAAAACAAUACCUAGGACAGACACCAAGAGGACAAAAAUCUGUUACAGGGCACAUGGGUUGUUUUAGUAAAUAUGGCAAAAACAAAACAAAACAACAACAACAAAAAAAAAACCCCACAAAAAAUCAGAUUCUCUCUUAAGUGAUAUAUACCUUGGUAUCCUUGGGCACAGAUUGGAUGUAGCUUUUCACCUACAAAAUCUGUUGUUGAGAGCCACCAUCUUUAGAUCAAAGUUCAUUUUACCCAAGAAGUAUCUCUGGGCCCUUAACCUUGAUCCUCAUUGUUCUUUGCUGUCUUGUGUUCUUCCAAUGAAGAGGUUGGGGCUUGAGACUUGGAAUGGCUUUUAAAAGUUCCUCCAUGCUGGGGCCUGUCCACAUUCUUCUCUAAGAAUUGGGGACCUCUUUCCUUUGUCCCAGUUCUUCCUUUGAAUCUUCCAUCCCCACCCCCUUUAUUAUUCUAGUCACCUCUGAUUUUUCUGAGCUUUUGAUAGCAUAAGCCACUGUGGCACUUAACUUCUCACAGACUAGCAAUGGCCACCCAGCUUCCUGGCCAGAUGGAAGAUGAGCUCAGCCUCAGUAUUGCCCUGCCAUUGCAGAAGAGGUGGCAAUGGGGCUGAUGUUGGCCCACAGAACCAGGGACAUUCCAGUAAAGGUCUAGUUUCCUUUGGGUCUGCCAAGGGAGAAACUGGGUUGUAUAAGUCAGAGUCUCCUGAAGAGCAGUAACAAACCAAAACCAGCCUGAAAGCAUCCUUGUAAAAGGAUGAAAUGAGGUGAGGGCAGAGAGCCAGCUUGCAUGCUCCUGAACCCCAUGAUCUGGAGGUGCCAGAGUAACAGCCUUUUAAUUAAAAGGCCCCCAAAGAUCACAAAGUUUAAGGUGUAUACUUGUAUGUGCCUUUACUGGUACUACCACCAGCUCCACGCCCCUUACCACCCAGCUUAAGCAUAUACCCUUUCUGUGCAGCUCAUUUUCCUUGCGGUCUCAUCCAGCCCCAGGCUGCCACAGGAAAUGGUGAAUCAGAAGAACUUUCCAUAUACAGGCACAAAUAUUUGCCCUCUGAUGCCAUCUGAUGAAAUCUCAACUUCUGCCCGCUGGAGCAAUAGGAUUUACUGCUUGCUCUGUCCUUGGCCUGGCACCCAACAGGUGGAGGGAAAGCUUUGCCAUCUACAUUUUCAAGUUUCUCUCUGGAGUCACCUUCCCACCCCCCUCCCUGCUUUAACUUUCUCCCUCUGCCACUGAGGUGUCCUGGAGUGCUCAUGGAAAAAGCUUUCUCCCAAGAAUCUUGGUAGAGAUGUUGGAUGAAUCUCCAAGGCAGUGUUGAUUUGUUCCUGUUCUAUCAUGUUUGAUCAUUUUGGUUUAAAAAAAAAAACAAGAAGAGAGAGAGAGAGAAAGAGAGAGAGAGAGAGAGAGAGAGAGAGGAUAUGAAUGAAUGAAUGAAUGAAUGAAUGAAUAUGAACCUAUGGCAUACAGAGCUAAGGAGAACGAACCAUUCCCACAAACCACCUCCAUCACCUGUUUUCAGUUUUUAACUCCUUUCCUUAAAAUCAUCCCUUACCCUCAGAUGGAUGGCACAGCUGAUUAAGACAUGGCCCCAAGAGCCAAUGUGGGUGGCACAGAGACAUCUCUGCCCUCUCUGUGCCUCAGGAUGGUUCACUUAUUCACAACACUUCCUUCCUGCCUCCCCAGAGCCUCAUUCCCAUGUCUCUUCCACUCAGUUUGAAGCACAUAAGAAAUAGACAUGAUGGGGCUCAAGAACUUGACCAAUGUAGCUUGGAUCUUCCUACCUAGCAUAAACAGAGAAAGACAGGAGGGAGGAAGGGAGGGAGGGAGGAGACUGGGACCAAGUAUUCCAAACAUAACCAUGUAGAAAACAUUUCCGAUUCAACUUAAGAUAGCCUCUGUAUUAGCAUCUAUAAAUAAGGAUCAGCAUCCCUCCGGCCUCAAGCGUGGGCUCAGGGGUAGAAACAAUAUCAUGAUCUCCCAAGAUGCCAAGAGCCUGGUGCUGGCUCGGUGUGAGAUGCUUGCUUCAAUGCUUGAGCACUCUGAGUAAUGGUCCAGCUCUAUAGUGCCAGAGUGAAAUCUUUACUCUGCUCCCCUGACCUGAACUCUACUCCUUGCUUCAAAGACCUAAGCUAUUUGCACAUCUUUCCACUCCUGCUGGGCCAGGCUAUGCUAGCUGGAGAGUUUGACUCCAACUAAUUUACAGGCCAAGGAAUUACAAUAUCCUGGCUCAGGAGUGUGAUUUGGAAAACCACAAAUAAUUUCUCCAAAUUUUUACAAAGCAGGAAGCUGACAGAUACGCCUUACAGGGGAACCCCCACCAGUGGCUUGGCCAGCUCCAGCUCACGGAGCUGUGGAGUUUGCAGACCUUCUCAUUGCUGCUCCACCACUGCAAAGACAUUUCUUAAGAUCCUUCCACAGAGACUCUGGGUUCCUAGAAAGUCAUCUUUAGGAUCAACCUUUGUUUCUCUCAGUAAACACAAUGCCUUUCCCAUCUGCUAGAUCUUAAAUAAGACACAAUAUAUAAUAAUGAUGAACAUGGUCAUCAAUCAAUUGACAAAUAUUUAUGAUGAUCCAUGUGGCACUAAAGACUAUGAAGGAAACAACAGGUAACAAAAAGGAAAUUAUUUUUAAAAAGUAAUAUGUAUUGAUGAGAGACUUCACUGAAAUUUUGAAGCAGCCUCUAUGGGAGAUUCACAUACCCACCGCAAUGACUUACAUAUUGAACUAUUGUAGAAUUUUUCGAAUGCCUAUUUUUUGAGUGCUUAUUUUUGUUCUGACUUAAUUUUUCAUUGAGGCAUAAUUUGCCUACAGGAAAACAUGUAUCAUUCCAGUGUAAGUUUAAUAAAAUUUAUCAAAUAUGAAUUUCUUGGUGAACUACAACCCACAAAGCUAAAGAAGAGUUCUGCACCCGGCUGUGUUCUUUUUGUGUCACUUCAAGUCAGCCAGCCCGAUACCAUGCCCUUGAAUGUCCAAACAUUUUAGUAUAUUUCCUACGUAUGAGGCCAUUCCCUUCCACAACUAACACAGACUUGUCAAAACAUGGAAAGGAACAGGGAUAACAUUACUAUUUAUCUAACCCUCAGAUCUUCCUCAUUUUGCUCAUUAUAAUACUAAUAAUUUUUAUAGGAAAAUAAUAAUUGAUGGAUUAGGAUUCUUCCAGCCACAUGUUGGACUUAAGUGUCCCCCUAUCUCCUUAGCUGCCCCACUGCCUCCUAUUUGGGGCAGUUCCUUGGUCUUGUGCCUUUCACAUUCUCCUUCCUCAGUUUGGAAGGCUACAAGCUGGAACUUCACUAGAGUGUCUCAAUCUGGGCUUGCCUGAUGAUAGCUUGCAAUUAGUUUCAAGCUACACAUGUUAGACAGAAGAAGCCAGAAGUGAUGCCAUGGCUGUUCCAGGCACAUCUCUCACCCUUCAUCAGGCAGCACAUUCCUGGGUCUGCCUUCACUGACUAUGUCAACAACAAACACUCACAAGGAGUGAGAGUCAGCCAAGCUGUGAAGCAGCCGUGGUCCCCUUUGUAAUCACUGACUAUUCUGUGGGAUCUACUUUGAGAAUAUGCUAAUGUCCUGUUUACCCAUUUGUUAGCACUAGGUUGAGGAUUCAUUUACACGGUUUGUUUGAAAUAAUUACAAUUCUGUAUUGCUUUAUGACAGGAAUAUGUUCUUUUAAAUGUACCCUUAAAAACUGAGGUGUAGAUCAGUGGUAGGGUACUUGCUUAGUAUUCAUGAGACCCAGAGUUCCAUUUUUGGCACAAAAAAGGAAGGAGAAAAAAUGAAGGAAGGAAUGAGGAAGGGAGGAAAGAAGGAAGAAAAGACAGAGAGAGGGAGGGAGGACAGGCAGGUAGGCAGGCUUAAUUAACUUAUUCCAUAAGCAUCAAAGGCACUUAGAGAUACAGAUGAUAGAUAACUGACACUUGGAAUAUAUGGUAUAUAGCUACAUGCAUACAUAAAUAAGACAUAUACAUAUAUAAUAGCUUUUGGAGCAAAAGGCUCACACACACACACACAGAGACAUAUGGACACACUCACAGAUACACUACCCUAGGGUCAUGAUAAACAAAGGCACACAGGGUUAAAUCAAGCACAACAGAAAAUCAUGCAGCCAAAAGACAAAGUAAACAUAAGAUAUAUGUGGCUUCUGCCAGAGUACCAUGGCAUGCUGUUUUACGGUGACUUCUUUCUAUAAAUAGAAGGACCAUGAUUUAAGAAAUAUGUUUGAAGUAGUAAAUAAAACCUUUAAGCACUAUUUACUAGUACCAAGUGUUUUCUUCUGUACAUAACAGCAUGCCAUGCUUUCAGACACCUGGCAGCUCGGGGAUCCACAUCUUCUUUACUGCCAGCAUGUAAGUGUGCUACACUAACAUGUUCUGAUGACUAUAAAUACCAUUAGCAGGAUCUUUCAUGCCCAUUCUAAUUCUAUGGAACCACUAUGACUGUGUAGCACAUCAGAGACUGAGAUGUCACGUGGAAGAUAUCCCUUGGACCUUUUUAUGCUCCCUAAGGUCCAUGUAUGGAAGUCUUGGUUCCUUGGGUGGUGCCAUUGAGAGGUACAUCAUUGAAGACACUAAGGUAUGAGGGUUAGUAGGAGGUCUAGAGGACAUCAGGAGUGUACCUCAAGGGAGACCUGGGGGUGGCAGUCUUUUCCUCUUUUACUUCUACCAGACCACAUCAUUGCUAUCCCACAUGUCUACCAAUGAUCCCUGGCAAUGGACAAACCUGAUAAGGGACUGAAAUGGAACACUAAUGAGAACAAAGCCAAUCUUUCUCUCUGUAAGUUAGUCAUCUCAAGGGUGUGUUUUUAGGGUGGUAGAAAGCUGACAAACACAUGUUGUAUCAACAUAAUGCCUGCUAAAUGGUCAUGAUUCAACUCCCAUCAUUUUCUCUACUCACACUGUCCAUUUCCCCCUUCCUCUUUCCCCCUCUCUCUCCCCCAUUCCUUCCGAUGCAGACCCAUAGAUUCUGGUUUUAUUCUCUGAAUUAUAAACUGCUAAUAUCUUUAUCUUUUUUUAUAUUAAAAUUAUCUCAGAUUUGGUCAAAGUCAGCCCUUUUAAAUAACUCCUAUGCCCUUUUGACACAGUGAAACUAUAAAAUUCUCCAGGAUCCUAAGGGAACACAGGUCUUACUUCUGUUUUGGAAUCGAUUUGAGUGUUCUUCAUCACUUGUCUUUAAUUAAGAUAUUAUUUGCUAUAGUUAUUUAUGUUGGAGAAAACGGUUGCCAUGGCAAUUUAUUAGACAAAAAGAGGUGAAGCCAAUAGGGACUUGGGAGUAAGGAGGAAAUGGGGAUAGCCUCUAUGAGGACCCAGGAAGGAGACUCAACACCAAAACCUCAGCUGGGCUCAUCAGAUACUAUGGGAAGGGCCAUCAACAAUGUAAAUAGAAGGCAUACAACCAACUCCAAGGCCCUUGAACCAGACAGAGAAAGCUUCAAGGGACUGAGACACCUCCAAGGGCACAAGCCAAGAGUUAUGAUGGCAAGCCCAAGAACAAAGGAAGACAGAUGAUACCAAUACAAGAACAUAGAAGUAGAGUGCCAGAUUCCCAGGGAAGUCUUCUGACCCUGGCUUGCUCUUUUUGACCUUGUUUAUCCCAUCUUAUACUCUGGAUAUACCUUACUCUUCAGUAUCACCAACUGCUGGACUGUCCUGUAUAGGUAUAGCACCCAUGCUUGUUCUCAGGAUCAAAGCUACCCCGAUUCCUCUAACAUGUUUUGUUGACUUACUGCAUCAAGGCAUUAGGGACUCUGUACAAACACACACAUACAUGCCUAUCCAUAUUCUGCACGCCAAAAUUAACAUUUUGAAGAUGACUUUUUCUGCCAUUUAUCCCUACAUUGCACAUUCAUAAAUACUUACACAAAUAAGCAAAAGUAAGUGGACUCAGCAGGUUGCAGGUUAUCAGUUGUGUUCAACGUGUGUGUGUGUACAUGUGUGUAUCUGUAAGGGAGGGUAUAACAAUAAUAACUAAAGUCACAAAGUUGAGGUGGUGUUGGAGGGAUGAGAACACUUGGCAAACAAGAGAGAGUAGUGUAGAUUACAAGAUUUUUUUCAUUCUUUUUUCUUUUUUAAUAUUUUUAUUAGGUAUUUCCCUCAUUUACAUUUCCAAUGCUAUCCCAAAAUUCCCCCAUACCCUUCCCCCCCCACUCCCCUACCCACCCACUCCCACUUUUUGGCCCUGGCGUUCCCCUGUACUGAGGCAUAUAAAGUUUGUAUGACCAAUGGGCCUCUCUUUCUACUGAUUACAUAAUUAUUGUUCCCAUGUUGUAUUCUCAAAAAUAUAAAUGCUAAAAAGACUGUAAAUGUUAGCUUUUCAGUUCCAUGUUUAUGCAUCUUAUGGUUUAAAAUCAUGCAUCUCUGCAAGCAGGGGCUGGUAGUUCACGUGUGUAACCUCAGCUACUCAGGAGGCUGGGGCAGUAUUAACAGUCUAAACACAAGUUUAACGCCUGUGUACCUCAGAACCAGUUCAAGGCCAGCUAGGUGGCAUAGAAAGUCUGCUUCAAGAUGAAAAGUUGAGAAAGGGUAGGUAUUUCUGUGGAUAAGCUCAGUAGUGCAGCACUUGUUUAGCCCAUGUGGGGCCUUUGGUUCAAUCCUUCAUAUCACAACAAACAGACAGGCAAACAUAAAGAUGUUUCACUGAAUCUCACCAAUAAAAUGCAGAGCCUGUCAUCCAGCAGACAUCAACAGUGGCAAUUAGCCAAUCAUUGCCAAGAAUCAUUCCCAAAUAGAACUGCUUUCUCAGAUAAACAUGGCCCCCACACUAACUGCAAAUGCUACCAGACAUUUUCUAGGCUUUGUCUGGGAUGUUUCAAAAACAAAAAAAAUCUCUGUCACUUAUCUCCUGACUCUGGUCAGCAAGGGCAACAUCAGUUAGUUCUCUUCCCUUUUUUUGGUCCCUUCUCAAAGGAGGUGUGGCUCAGCAGGGUGAGAAAACUGGAAGUCAGUGCAUAAAGCUAAUUGAAAACCUGGGCAAUGGAUCAGACACUGACCCUUUCCACCCUUUCCUAGCCAAGGAAAGGCUCUGCUCCAACCGUGGCAAAAACCUGAAGCCUCCAUUUCUUCCAUUUGUCAUGGGAAUAGUUGCCUUUUCUCUGCUAGGCCUCCAGAUUUUGAUUUUGGAAUGAACUUUUCUUUAAGAACCCAAUUUGCUCCCAUGAUGUCUGUCUAGCUGAGUCAUCAGGUAGCAAGAGCAAAGGCCUUUGUUGAUGCAAUCCUAUUUCCGGUCUUCCAGCUACCCAACACGGUAGACACAGGACUGUUUACAAGUAAACACUAACUGAAUACAUUUCAAGACAUAGUCUUUAGCCAUGCUGUCUAUGUGCCAAAUGUACAAUAAACACAGUGGCAAAUGGCAAUGAAACUAAACAGGAAAGAGAAUGUGUGUGAUGUUGUAAGAAGCUGUGUCAGAUGUUGGAGCUGACCAGUGAGUUCAUAUGCCAAAGUAGAGGAAGUCUGGGUUUGAGCUACCCAGUGACUUCUCAGAAUGUAGUCUCCACAUGGCCAUGGGUGGUAGUAGGUCCAGGGCAUGUACAUCUGAGAUUGACAGGUUAGGACAGGAGGCUUUGAUCCUUUGCUUUCUUCUACUGAACACCUACCUUCCAAAGAUGUCCCACUCAUCAUUUCUUAGAAAGGCAAAACUUGCUUCUACAUGGCACUGUAUCACUAACCCAUGAGUUGCCCAUAAUUACCGAGCAAGCCCACUUAAAACUACCAAAACCCUCUGGGGACAAUAUACCUGUUCAUAUUUCUCAAGGUUUCCUGAACAGAGAAACGUAGGAUUAGGGAGGCUUCUUCGGGGAAUGACCCAUUUGAUGAUUAUAAAUUUGCUUUUAGAGACAGGAAUAAAAAAUAUUUAGAUAAGCUUUAGUUGUUAAGAAUUAAUGGAAAACCUGAUAGAGAAUGGGGUCUAGAACCCACAAAUAUAUGUUAAAAAAAUUAAUGAAGAAACCACAAGAGAAUAAAAUUCUCCUGGGGCCUCCUCUCUGAAUGAAAGUAGUUCUCUCUGGAGAAAAUCACUAACUUAUUUGUGCCAUGUACAGGAAGGACAUAAAAUUAUCACAGUCAUGUUCACUUCCAGACAAAGUGACUUUCAAAGCUGUGAGGCAAGGAUGAACAUGGCAUUCAUCGCUGGUACAGGGGACUGUUUGUCUUCAGAGAAGUUAAUCUUUCUAAUUUUUUGCCAUUGAAAAAAGUCAGGAUCUUCAGCAACAGGACAGGAGAAUCAACAUCACCAUACUCACCCAGACCAUCACCACCAAAGAAAAAAACGGCUUUGUCAAAUAGUAUUAUAACAGCUUGAAAAAGUUAGAAGGGGUCUUGGGGUGAGCUAAUUGCGAGGGGUAGGCAGGUAGGAAGAUAGAUUUCCUGUUCCAGUGAAGCCCCUGCCAAACCUAGAAGAGGUUAGCAAGGAGAGAGUUAUUUUUAAGACUUGCAAAGUUUGAAUUGGCUUAAAUAUAGUCCUAGCCUGGAGGCAAGGAGAAAAAACAGAUAAUAAACAAUACCUGGACCCACGUGUCAGAGGAAAAUCAGGAAGAAAAACAAAAAUGGUCUUCAGUUUUUACUAAUCAGUGUCCUAAACCAGAAAAUGCAUGCACGUUGCCACUGAGCCGUAGGGUGGACAGAAGUAAUAGUGCCAUCUCCUGCCACCAGCAAUUGUAAAAAUAGCCUUGGAAGCAAACCUGGACCCUGGUGGUUGCUUACUCUUAUGUAAAGUGUCAACAAAGGUACUAGAGCCUUGAUCCAUAUCAUCAAAUUUGUUAACUAAGCUCUUAUAAUAUAGCACAUUCAAAAAUGGCUCUAAAUUACCAUUCCAGCAGAUCUUUGCCUCAGAUAUCCACAUAGAUCUUCCCUUAUGGAAACCUAAUAGCAGCUAGCACCAAGUGAAAAAUGGGCGAGACUAAAGAAAUACCCAACAUUAGGAACACUUUUUACCUGGCCAUUGGUUCAUAUUCUGCAAAAAGCUAUUGUAGCUUUGCUACAGCUGAGGAUUUGAACUAGGAGUGCCAAUCAGGCUCCCAUGAAGGGCUAAUGAAGGCUCAAACUCCCAUGCUCCCCCUAGAAUUCCCAGUUUGGUAGGUCUUAGAUGGGGGCCUAAGAAUCUACAUUUCCUACAUAAUUUCAUAGGAAGCUGAUGAUGGAGUCAUUGGACCAUUCUUUGACAUAAACUAUUUUUUGAAUGACUCCCAGUGUUCCUAGAAGUUGGUUUAAAAGGAAGUCGAUCUGAAGUGGUCGGUGUGAUCAAAUCUGUCCUUGGAGCCAAGUGCCCAGGAUGCAUUUAUCAUCACCCAGCCCAGCGGCAUGGCUCUAUGAAGAAGCCAUGUUAAUAGUGCCAUUCUAAAUACAGUGUGCAGUGUGGCCAUACCUCCAUCCCCUGCCCCCACCCCCUGGCCCCAGAUCUCCUCUCUGUGGUCUUUAGGGAAGUUGUACAUUGCAGCCCUGGGUUAACUUACAAUUUGGGCUGUGCUUUCUUCUGCCUUCUUUUUAUAUCUCUACUGUUGCACACCCUUGUAGCUGCUGAUUGUCAGGUUUUUGGCCCUGUAGACAAUAGCACAGCCCAAAGAAAACCAGGGUCUGGGUAAGCUUCCCAGGCCAACCCUGGAGAUGCUGAGGCAACACAUGGUUUAAAAGUAAACUGCUCUGGAGGAAGCCUGGAGCCAUGUAUGGACACCAGGGGUGGUAUACCAUGCCAGAGAUCUGUUCUCCAUUAACUUUUGGACAAAAGUUGUUCAGGAGCCCAUAACCCUAUAGGUUAUAGGAAGCAAUCCCUUGUUGCACCUUAUAGUUCUCCCUAAGAUUUGGCUGGGCUCUCGUUAAAAAACAGAAACCAUUUGCCUUCAAGCCUACCCGCCUAAUCUGGAAUCUAUCUCUCCCUAGGAUACUAAGCCUCAUUACUCCAGAGAAAAUGGCAUCUUCAAAACUGGACCCAAUGGGCCCUCUCAAGUUACAAACUGACCCUUGAGUUGUUUUCAUUCACCAGGAACUAUUUUUCCUGGCAUAUGUGUAACACACAAAGAAGAAAAAAAGAAACCUUUGCUUUUUUUAUUUUUUAAAAAGCAUCCAAUACAAAACAAGUGAUUGUUAAGGCUCCAAGCUGUCUGUUGUAAUUCUCUAACAUGUUCUAAAAACAAUAAGCCACAUGAGGGUGUGUGUUCUUUGGCCUCAGCUUCUCUCCUGGGGUUGGCCCCCGUGUACUUUGUUCCUUCCAUGGGUUCUGACAUGCCACAAAGCACCCUGAAUGGGCAUCCCCAGCCAGACACAUGCUGGCUGGGUUCCCUGAGUCUCCCUUUUGGAAUCAAGAGAACACUCAAAACUCAAAUAGGUAGUAAGAUUCUCUAGUGGACAGGUGUCUCAUCCUUUUACAUUGUAAAUAAGAAUUGUUAUCAGUUCUUGAUGCUGAUCCUAAGAAGGCAAGCAAGCUUUCACUAGAACUUAGGUAUAUGAUCAGACAUUAAGGUAUAGAUCUCUAGUGCCAGCACUCUGGACAUAGAGACAGGAGGAAAAUAAAUUCAGUGGCAGCCUGAACUCCACAGAGUCCUUUUCUACAAAGAAAAAGAAAUAAAUAAAACCCUAAAAAUCAAGGAAAAGGCAGUAUGUUUGAAAGGACACAUGGGCAUUUGAAAGGCGAUUGCUGCCCUGUCGGGCUACUCCUGAAACUGGAUCUUCACCUUCUCAUCAGUUCUUGGCUCUAGUUAGGAAGGGAAGCAAUACUAUUCAAGGGUCAGAAAGAUGAACCACAGAAUGUGAAAAUGGCUGUCUGCCUAGAGACCUCAGUGCCAGCAAGACUUCUGUGGGUGCUAAUCUAUGACCUCAGAUUGAUGGCAGUGGCAGCUCAAGUCUGAGUUUCUUGGGGUGACGUGUGCUAAGCCCCAUGGGUUAAUUGCUUUCACAACAAUCACAGAAAGCUUGUUGAAGAAUUUCCAGUUUUGUUUUUUGAGGACAGGGUCUCACUACGUAGCCUAGGCUGAACUUGAAUUCUUGAUCUUCCUGCCUCUGUCUCCCCAGUGUUGUCAGCAAAGGCAUAUCUAGCCGGAGCAUCAUCCUUUCCAUUUGUCACCAGAAAGCAUUGAGCCCAAACCAAUUAAAGGUCUUUAUGGUCCCUCACCUAGCAAGCAGCAAGGUAGAACUCAAAUUAAGAUGACUUUACCUCAUCAGUCCUUUCUGGAACCCCUGAAAUGAUACGUAUUAUAAAAAUGCCCCGGAGAUGAUGAAGCCAAGUGAAGAUUCGAGAGGGGUGACUAUCCAAAAACCAGAAAUGCUAAUUAACAUGACAUUUCUACAAGGCCUCAGUUAAAUGGGAUUUUCCAGGUAUAUAAAGCUUACCUUUAAUUAAGAAUCAACUCCUUUUUUAGUCCAGAGAUUUUUAAUGGAAAAUUUCCAAAAGUAAUUAUGUUUUUUUUUCCCUUGUCUUAAAUACACAUGAACUAGAAUUUAAGAUUUAUAAAAAUAGCCCCUGAUAUUAAUGAGUAUCAAGUGAAGGAAGGUACUGUAGGUGAAAGUAUUAGUCUGUAAUAUGGUCAGAGUGACUCCUAAUGGCUACACUUGUUAGCUUUCUCAACCUAUUAUUUUUUCUGGAAUAUUUUAUUAGAGUAUUUUGACAUUUUUCAAAGUUCUACCACCUCUUAGAUUUCAUGAUGACAUUGUAAAAUACUUGUUUUAUAAUAUAUUCAUUCAUGUACAUAUUAAUAAACCUAUUAUUUUAAAACACAUUGAAAAUAUAUUACAGGGGCUAUUGAGAUGGCUCAGCAGGUAAGGGGAACUGUUUUGAAACCUUGCCAACCAGAGUUCCAUCCCUGGUAUUUAUCUAAAAGUGGAACUCCACAAGGAUGUCCUUUGAUCUCCACACAUGGGUAUUUUAAGAUGUGCCCUCUGCCCCCAACAACACUACAGAAACUUGAAAAAUACAUUUCAGGCAUCAUCUAUGUACGUAUCCCUGGAUACCUCAGGACACACAUCAUUUGUUGGUGGUAUUUGUUUACAAAAAUAUGAUUAAAGGCACAUGAUGAAAUGCACAGAUCUCAAGUGUGCGUUCGCUUGUUCUGGCAAAUUAAAAACCCUGCCUACCCUAAAGCCUUGUCCACUCACUGACCAUGCACUGGGAGGCUCCCUACCCUUUUCCAGUGGACACACCCAUUCUCCCUGGGAUACUCACUUUCUAGCUUCUCACAUUAUAGUCAGCUAUAACUUGACAUGUAAGCUCAAUGUGUUCUCAAUCUUGUGCCUUUGUGUUAGCUGCAGUUAUUUUAAGGAUCAUGGGGGAAAAUCCAAAGCCAUUUUUGGAAGAGUACAUGAGUAUGAGCAUUCUCUUCAUUUUCAACAAAGGUUUGGAAGCCUCUGAGAGGGCCAGCAUCCUAAUUUCCAUGGAAGUUCAGUGCUGUUAAAUUGUUCCAAAACUGGGCCAGCUCUGCUAUCUGCAAAAGAGCAGACCCCUCCUAUAAAUUAGCAUUUCAAUAUAGUUUUGAGGAACUGGAUGAGUGAGGAAGAUGUCUCACUCAACAAUCACCUGCUGUAAUGAUGUUUUCAUGUUGCUCUGUCGAGACAUUUGGUUCAGAUAUUGUUGCAUCAUGUCCAGAUGGUUUUAACCACUGGGGCAUUGAGACACAUGUUCAAAUGUGAACCUUUCAUAUUGAUACAGUAGCAUGUUGAGAUGUUAAAGCAUCACAAUGACAGAUGCUGAUGUGACAACUGAGCUAACAUGUUGAGUCGUUAACGGGGUGAGAUGUUGGGACACUGUUAAAUUGAAGUUCUGAGACAUCUACAGGCAUCAAAGUGCUCAUAUUCAGGUGUGGAGCUGGUUUUUUGUUUGUUUGUUUGUUUUAAUGUCGACUUGUAGACAUGUUCACAUGUGGAGAGGUUUAGAUCUCACACAAGUGCUGGACAUUGAACCAUUUUAGAUAAGAUGUAAAGUCUCAUUCCUCUAGCUGUCAAAUACUCUUCCACAUCCCUUCCUCUGCAGCAAACACACAUUAUAUCUUUGGAUAUUUAUCUGUGCAUAUAGGCAUCUAGAUCUUCCUGUUUGAGGACAUUCUCUGGUCCAGGAUGGGCUUAGCAUCUACAUGGGAAUGAUGGUGUAUAUAUCUAUUACCUUAAGUAUUAAUGGCCUUAAUAUGGCAGGUUUGGCCACCAUCCUUAAUAAGACAAUGAAAUGAACAAAUAAUAGUCAAAAGAAGAGAAGACUUAAUAAAAAUGGUCACAAUGAGAAGAGGUACAAGGUGAUUUCAAUGACAUCUGUCCCCUACUGACUUCAUCUUUAGGGUCUUGGCACAAAGUAUAGAUUUAAGUAUAGGGACAGAGUUAUGCAUAGCUAUUCAGUCCAUGAUAAAAGGUGGGCUCACCCAUCAUUGACCCAUCAUUAUCUGGGCUCUAUUCUUUCUGAAAGGUGGUUGGUCUGACAAGUUGUAUAUUUCUUUCCUGGAGACAAGGUCCCUUCCCUCAGAUAUUGACAAGGACAAGAGAACCAUCUUCUUUCCUCAAUAGCUCACCUCUGAGGCUCCACAAUCCUCCAGAGUCUGGAUCUACUAUGAAGGCAACAUUUGCCUGGCCAGGCUCCAAUUUGGAGUAGAACUUGCCCUUAUCCACCCUGUCUCACCCCUCCAUCAGCCGGCACACCAUGUAGGCAUUUGCAAACCCUUUGCUAUUGGUCUGUAUUACUGAUAGAAAAGUUUAUAAAAAUGUACUAAAUGGGGAGUGAGGAGGAGAGGGGAACCUGAUCUGGUAUUAGGUUAGGGAAAAGGACCGAAGCCCUGAGCCCCAGCAAGAAUGUUAAUAGGCAACCUCAGGAAAUAGGAGGUUUGGGGGAACCCCCCCCAAGAAUGCACCAGAGAUUUGGGAGGUGGUAGACUCCCAGGACUCAAAGGGAGGGACCUUAGAUGAAAUGCCAGACAAUAGGGAGAGGGAACUUAUAGAGCCCACCUCCAGCAGGAAGAGAGGACAUCAAGUAAGGGAUGGGGUGCGCAUCACACACACACACACACACUCUCUCUCUCUCUCUCUCUCUCUCUCUCUCUCUCUCUCUCUCUCUCUCUCUCUCUCUCUCUGGCUGAAAGUUUAAAAAUAAAAAUUAGUGAAUGCAGGAGCAGGAUGGAGAACAGCCCUGCUAGUUUAGCUGAGCUAGAGGGCCACAUGUGUCUGAGUUGUGAUGAGUAGCGGUUGAUCACUGAAUAGAAAAGUCUAAGUCAUCACUAAAAGGUACCAGAGGUGACAACUACCAAACUCAACAUCAAACUAAUUAGCACGGCCAUUUGGCAAAAAACAUUGCUUGAAAAUGUAGCCAAGAAUCUUCUGGCGUAAUUCUCUCACUGAAUCUCUAGGCGCUGCCUACCACCAAAGCAUAAGGCAACAAUGAGUGGUUAUCAUUAAUUUAUGACAAACAGCAUUUGGGCAUUUUAUGGCACAUUACAGUAUGACUGUCAUCCCCAAAUACUGUACAUGCAUAUCAGCAAUUUAAAAUGUCCUUGGGUCCCCCACCAAAUCUCCCUACUAAGUACUAUAAGAAUCCCAGAAUCCUUCUACUGGCUGCCUCUUUAUUUAUUGUGUUGAUAACCAGAUUUCAAUAAAAAUGCCUUUUGGUGCCCUGUAUAUUUUAGCCUGGGUACUUAAAAUGAACUUUUUCUUUUUCCUCUUUCCUCCUCCUUCUCCUUGUCUUCCUCCUCCUCCUCCUCCUCCUUAUCCUCGUCCUCAUCCUCCUCCCCCUCCCCCUCCCCCUCUCCCUCUCUGCCUCCCCACUUCCAUCUCCCUCUCUCUCUACUCCACUCUCUUUCUUUCUAUCAACCUCCCUGCUCAGGUAUUCCAGGUCCCUGGAAAUAGAGGGCUAGAAUUACUAAAGGACCAGGCCAGCACUACUGAAGGUCUCUGGAGGGCCCCAGAGCACUGGGUCAGAGAAAGCAGAGGUGAGACUCAAUUUGGACUCCAGAAAGUGGUACUUGUUUGUCUUAGCAGAGCUCAUAAAUUAAGACAAGCUAUUUUUGGACAUGUCAUCUUUGCGAACCCAUUUUCUCCCUGUCUUGUUUCAUUGGCUUUUAAUCAGGAAUUAUCUUGUGAAGUGGUCUGAACUGUCAUAAAUUCAACACAAGAACUGAACUAGUGGGUGGAGUCUCCAAACAGAACAGAAACUGAAGCCCAUGACAGCUGCACUCCCUAUUCUGUGAUGAGAACCACAUGUAGUGAUCUCUGGCCACAUAGGAUGUCCUGACUCUGCCUGGCCUGGGGACAUGUGGUGGAGCAAAGAGGCUGUGAUGAUUAGGUUUUUGUUUUUUUGUUUUUUUUUGUUGUUGUUUUUUUUUUUUUUUUAAAUCAACUUUUCACACAUUUAGACAUCUGGAAUGGGAAUCUCAAUUGAGGGACUGCCUCCAUCAGACUGCUCUGUGGAUACAACUAUGAGACUUUUUUGAUUGAUUCAUGAUUGAUAUGGGAGGGUCUAACCCUCUGUGGGUGGUACCAACAUGAGAAGGUGAUCCUGGGUUCUGUAAGAAAGCAAACUGAGCAAGCUGUGAGGAGCAAGGCAGUAAGCAGUGUUCCUCCAUGGCCUCUGCUGCAGUUCCUGCCUCCAAGUUCCUGCCUUGAACUCCCUUGACUUCCCUUCAUGAAUGAGUGGAAGCUGACAUCUGAAAUAAACCCUUUCUUUCCCACGUUAUUUUGGAACAUGUAGUUUAUCACAGCAGCAGAAAGCCAAACUAGGACAAAGGUCUUGGGAAUGUGGCCAGGGUCAUACUAGACCAAGACAGAAAAAAGAUAAUUGCUUGCGGUAGAAGGGAGCCUCAUUUGCAACAUUUACACAACUGCCCCCAGGAAGAGAAGGUAAAGGACACCUUGCUGUCCUACUUAGAAGGAGAUGGGAGAGUUCUGUACCCAUAGAACAAGGCACCAACCUCUGAUCAAGAAGUUAGGCUGACAAGCACCUGCACGCAUCUUUUCAUGCAACCUAUCUCUCAUUGACUUUUGCCUGUAAAACUGAAGCCUUUCUUACAGCCCCACCAUUAAAAGCUGACUCCUGACACAGGAAGCAAUAGGAAUUUGGACAAAGUAACUUGAUUUAUUUAUAUUACACAAUCAUCCUGAUUCAGCUUUCAUGAUGUGGGAACAAACUGCACGAAACAUGUCAAUCAAGAAGUCAGAUAACCUGGAUUUAAAUAUAUAUUUAUGUAAAAAAAUAUAUAUUUAUGACAUGAAAGCAGAGAGUGACUGUCUGGUGUGGGGGAGAGGAAGGGAACCAUGAAGGAAAAGGGGUAAUGGGGUGAACACAAGCGAAGUGAAAUGAUGUCCAUGCAUGGACACACCCUAAUGAAGCACACCACUCUUAUGUGCUAACGUAGAAAAGAAUUCAAAUGAAUUCUUUUCAGACUAGGUACAGAUACACAGAGACCUGUAUCUCUUGUCACUGACCAGCCUUUUGGGCUAGAAGUGUAGCUUGUGCAUAAAUAUUGUUGAGUAUAUAAAUGGUAAGCAGAAAGCUAUGAAGCCAUUUGUUAGAGAGUCUAUUUGCAUUAUUUUCAUCAUUAUCGUUGAUUUCUUUUGUGAGAAAAGUAACCAAAGCACUAAAUAACCAAAUAGCUAUUUAUAUGUCCAUCCUUUAUGGACUAUAUACUAUGGGCUAGGUAUGCUUCUAGGUAUUAUUUCUAUAAAAUGAACUGCAACCAUUAAAGUUUCCCUCUGACACCCCUGUAUUGGUACCCCUCACACAACUGCUGAUUUGGUUUCUGCUUUUGUAGGUCAGCUUGCUUAAAAAUGGAAUCAUUACAUGGGAUGCAUUCUUCUGUGUCUUAUUUCUUUCAUUCAGCAUGGUGUUCUCUGAAAUCCUUUGUGCCUUGGUUCCUUGCUGCAUAAUACUCCACUGCACAGAUGUAGUCUUAUUUGUGCACUCUUUUACUGGUUUAUGGACCUGUGGGUUUUUCUAGCUUUGGAAUAUAAUAUAAAACUAAUCAUAUUCAUGUGCAUAUCUUUAAUGAUUCAAUUUAAUUUUGUUUGAGAUUAAAGUAUUGCUAUGUUACCCAGGUUAGCUUCAAAUUCCUGGGCUCAAGGCAGCUUCUGUCUCAGCCUCCCAAAUCACUAGAACUCCAGAUACAUCCUCACACUCCUGGCUUAUCUUCAUAUCUUUUUAUGACUAUAUCUUAUCAUCUUUCCUGCAUUAAUUCCUACAGAGGUAACAUAGGCAAAUCACAUGGUAAAUUCAUUUAUCUCAUAAGAAGAAACUCUAAACUGUUUCCUAAAGUGGCUUCUUCACAUUUUACAUUUUCAUUGACAAGACAUCCCAGUUGUUCCAUGUCUUUGACAACAUUUGGUAUUGUCAUCUUUUAAAUUUGAGCCAUUUAUGUAAGUAUAUAAUAGUAUCUCAUGGUAUUUUUUUAUUUUCAUUUUCCAAUGACUACUGAUUAGAUGUUAAGCAUUCUCAAUGAGCUUAUUGAGUGAUGUAUGUUUAUGAAUCUGGUUAAUGAGAUAAAGCCUCCUACACAGAGAAGGCACCCAAUCUUAGCCUUUACUUCCUUUUCAACCUCUUUGUAGCCAAGCAGUAUUUAAGAUGGAAACUGUUUGUGCAUAAGAACCAUGUUUUAAUAUUAUUGGCAUAGUUUCUGACACAUGGAAGGUGUUCAACUGAACUCUGCUGGGAAAAAAAAAGUGGGAUAAAUUCUAGUUAAUUGUAGAAUAUAAUUUAAUGACAUUCUCUGGUCCUAUUGAAGAGUGCUGAGCUGUAGGCUUCUCUAUGCUGAUUGGCUCAAGACUGAUUAUUUUUUUAAUUGCUAUAAUUAAACUGUCUCUUUCUUUAUUUCAGAUCUCCAAUUUUCUCCUGCCUGUAGAUGACCUACCUUCCAAACAGGCAAUUUGAAUUGACUAUGAGCUUGUUCAUAAGCUGACAAGUUUGUUUAGGCUUCUAAAUUCACAAUUGAAUAAAUAAAUGCAAAUGAGUAUGAGUUGGGGCCUUGAGGAUUCUGACAUAAUGUCUUUCUCACCAGGCUAGGAACUCACAGGUUGAAACAGGGGCAAGAACAAGUGAAUCAAUUCAGCAACGUGAGCCAGUGCUGUGAAGAAAUUGGGGUCUGGGUUUAAAUCCUGACCCUUCUGCCUAGUAUUUCUCAGGUUUAGGAAUCUCCUGAUUCUCACCUACGUUCAUGGUCCUCAUUUGGAAACCAUGGAAACAGGUUAGAAAAGAAGCUCAGGGGUAAAAGAGCAGGCCUAACAUAAACAGCUUCUAUUCCUAUCUCCCCAAAUCUCCUCGUAUCUCUUAACAGCUGGUACCACCAUCUCCCAGUUGUUGAGUUAUAAGACUAACGUUCAAACUCUCUGAAGAAUGGUCCUUCAUCAGUAGAUCCUACACAUAGUGGUGCCUUGUCCCCACUUCCAGGGGAUCCACUAACUAAAUAGAUGUAUAGCAGGUGGACACCUUGUCUCAGUAAGUGUGAGUCUAGCUAUAGUUUUAGCUAUAAAAAUUCUACAACAGACCAGGCAAAUCCUGACCUCAUAUCCAUUUCUGGUUCUAGCUCUUUUCAUAACUGUAUCCCAACCUCUUUCACAGGCCUCUCCUGAGUGCUAUUCCACAAACCGCAUGGCAUGAAUCACUGUCACCGAAUUUACAACUAGAAAUCCCAUGUAAGAUACCCCAAAAUAUCCGGGACACAAUUUCUUUUAUGAUUCAUUGAUGAUAAUGAGGGUAAUAUUUUUUUGAAGUCAUGCUUUCUGACUUCAGGAGUUGCAAAGGAUCAAAGCUAAAAUAAAAUUUCAUACUUUCUGUGCCUUUUGAAACCCAUGGAGUCUAUGACUGUUAUUAUGUUCAGUCUACCUUAAAGGAAUCACCUGGGCAAAGUGAAAUAAAUGAGCCAUCAAAUGGGAGGCAUUUCCUGAAACCUUGGUGGCAGGGGGGAGUGUACAGAGAAGAACUCACAGAACCAAAUCUCCAAUCUAUAUGUCUGUGAAGUAGAAAGCAUUGAAAAAUAUUCCAGGGCAGAAGUAUCAGGGGGAUCUGCGGGCAGUAAAUGGUACUAGUUCUUAGACCCACACAGGUGUGGUCUAAGCUUGUGUGAUAACAAGCUUAGUCACUGAGCUUUGGACAGAUAGCAGACACCAAAGAUGUUCUCCAAGAUGACUGAUCUCCAGGGAUAUAAGGGUAAGAGAACAAAGGAAGUUAGGAAGGGAGGGAUAGUCAUGGAGUUUCAUGGAUGAGAUGAUUUACCAUCUUCAAAGCUUGACUAGGAUUCUGUCUAACCAGUAGAGAUGAGAUGAAAGAAAUAUCAAGAGUGCAUGUCCAUUUGGGAGAAAAGUGAUAAGGGAGGAAGGAUGAUACCAUACAUGUUGUCUGAGAAGACUAGAAGAUCUAAAGGAUAAAGACACCAUUGAAUAGAAUUGACAGAAAACCAGUGAGAGAUUCUCAUAGUGUAGAAUUAGGUUUUUGGGAAAGAUGAUUCCAGCAAUGAGGACUAUCCCUUUUCAUCUCUCCCCCAAGAAACUCAGUGGGAAUCAUUCCUGAACUAGGACUGUUGAUGGCCAUCACAAAUACAAGGAAUUCAAGAGAGGAAAAUGCCAGUGACUAACGGGAUAGGUAGCUGGAUUGUGGGGGAACCUCAGUGGCGUUAAUGUGCAUAAAAUUCACAAGACGUAAGCAAGAAUUCUAUCUAUACAUACUCUUAAAUGGUCUCUAGGUUCUGGAGAUAGGUGAAUGGAAAAACAGAUGGAAAAACAUUCUUGUGGUUCUGCCAUUCCUUGCAAUUUUCUCACGCUGAAGUAAAGCAUUAUAAACUGAUUUGAACAUCAUGGAAAUUAAAGAACCCUUCUAUCUGAUUCUAAAUGAUUCUGAGCCAAUCAUUUAGCUUCUUUCUUCCAACACAUGGCACAUGAAAGCAUCAGCAUACCAAGCACUAGCCUCAGUUGAUAUCCUCAAUCUAACCAGUUUAUAUUGGCUCACAACUAGUGUCCAUCAACUAUAGAUGUCUACCAGAAGCUCAAAGAGGAGAUAUGAUUGGUUAUUAAUGCCUGGAAAGCAUAAUAGAUAUAAGCUGGUAGCACAUUACACACACACACACACAUUCAUUCAUUCAUUCAUUCAUUCAUUCAUUCAUAUUCUCUCUCUCUCAACUUUUUGUGAGUUCAAAUGCUAAUAGUUAAUCCAAAUUAUGAGAAUAUGUAUUUCAAAAAUUAAUAUUUUUCAAAACACAGUACUACAACUAUUAGUAGUUAAGAAGAGAAAAAAAUGAAAGGAUAAUGGAAAAAGAAAAUAGGAUACUGUCUUAGCUAGGGUUUACUGAUGUGAACAGAUACCAUGACAAAGGCAACUCUUAAAAGGACAACAUUAAAUUGGGGCUGGCUUGCAGGUUCUGAGGUUCAGUCCAUUAUCAUCAAAGCAGAAACAUGGCAGUGUCCAGUCAGGCAUGGCGCAGGAGGAGCUGAGAGGUCUACAUUUUCAUCUGAAGACUACUAGGAGAAGACUGGCUUCCAGGCAGCUAGGAUCAGGGUCUUAAAGCCCACAUCCACAGUAAUACACCUACUCCAACAAGGCCACACAUUCAAAACAGUGCCACUCCCUGGGCCAAGCAUAUUCAAACCACCACAGAUACCAAGAAAGAAAAGAGAGGAUUUAGAUAGAAUUAAAUUGAACAGGAAUUUUAUAAGGUAACUGGUCUCUUCCACAAAAUUCUAUUUUAACCAAAUGUUCUUUUUUUUUUUAAAUCAGCUACAGACGAAAUGAAAUUUCACAAUAAAACUCUAUUUCCCACUUUUCAUUUAUAGCCCCAAGCUAUGAAUUACUUACAAAUUGCAGAGCUGGUUACUCUCUGGCUUCAGAAAGAGCUACAGCAGCCAAGAACCCCACUGCACUGUCCACUGCUUGGCUCCUGAAUACUUCAAAAAGGGUUCAAUCUCUCAAGGCCUUUUUUCCACCUUCCUGGGCCUGUACUUGGGCAUCACAUUUACCAGGAUUAGUUUUGUGACAGGAAUAGGACAAUCAUAGACAAUUCCAGCUAUGUGAAUAGCAACAUGUGCCACACAAUCACAAACUAUAUUAGCAAAGAACCGGCUAUCAAAGAUCCAAGGGUGAUGAAGUUGAAAGAGCCUGGAUGUCAGAAAUGAAGACUAUUUAACUGUCAUUCAAUCUAUAUUUGGGUUCUCCAAAAACAGAACUUAGAAACUUGAGGCAUUUGAUUAUACUGAGACACAGAGGAUCAUAAUAGCAAGGGUGGGAUGGGAACAAGGGAACCCACAAAGGGUAAUAGACCAAUCUAGUUACUACUGGGGUCAACUGGCUUCAGCUGAGAAUUCUAGGAAACCAGAUGAAGCAUGCACCCUUAUGGCCAAGCCACCCACAGGGUAUCUCCAUACUGCCUCUCAUUGGUUCUUGGUUGAGGACUGGUCCCAUAGCUAUCUAUUCCCCUGGAACUCCUAGUCUGCUUUGUGGAGCAGACAGAGUGGUCCUUCCACAUAAUUCAAAACCUCCCAAACUGUAGGCAGAAAGACUCAGGAUUGGGUAGUGAGAAACUUGGGAAAUUCUCACUUAAUAAGAUUUGAUGGGCAUGAAGCGACCACGGGCAGUGUCUAAUACACACACAGUCCAUCUUCCUUGUAGGAAGACACAUGACCCAUGUGUUUACUCAUUGAAGGCACACAGAUGAGGAACAGAUGAUACAAAGACAGAGGGUGGCAAUGAAGCAGAGGCUCUAGACGUCUCCCUAAAUGGAAUCAAUGCAGGAUUGCUGGCUUGUUGCUAUGGGGGCUUAGAAACAAAUCUCUUGAGGAAGUGACAUUAUAAGUUGCUAUGGAGAAUGGAGAGUUGGCUCAGCAGUUAAGAGUGAAUACCAUCAAGUUUGCAGAGGACUACAGUUCAAUUAUCAGCACUCAGAUCAGACAACUCACUACUGCCUGUAACUCUAGCUCAAGGGGAUCUGACAUCUCCAGCCUCCUCAGGGACCUGCACUCUCUCUUGCCACAUCUUAGAGAGUGGGGAAGCAAUGCUGUCCUGGAUGCCCUGGGAUCUAGCAAAAGUUUGAUCACUGAGCAGAGGAUCAAGUCGGACAUGGAGAAAUGAGAUUGUCAGUGCUACAGGCAGCCUGCGGAAAGACAGAUAAUCAGCAAGCAAACACUUAGAGCAGAACUGGGGUGUGACCACACUAACAGCAAAGGGGAGAUACAUGUCAGAGAUAAAAAAGGGUGACAUGCAAAGGCCAGAACAUUCUGUGUCUCUUCUGUGCCACAGCAGAACCUUCUCAAACAGUGGAAAUAUUUUGGAUCUAUGUUGUCCAACAUAGUGACAGUUCACCUCCUGUUACUGCACAAUCACUUCUCUGAUAUGACUGAGUACUUUGAGGGGAGUCUAUCUGAGAGCAUUAAAAUGAACAGGGUAGAAACUUCCAAUCAUCUGGAAAUUCCCAGCCCUCCUUGGAGAAAGCGAAUCACCCUCUCGAGGCCCAUCUGAAGUGUGAAAUGCUUUUUGCCAGCCCAUAAAGAAUGUUUGGACUGCCACAAUGUGAAACCAAAACCCCACACUGGGGAGUCCUUGGCUUCUAGCAGAACUUGAACAGAUGUCCUGGGAGAAGCAAGGUCAAUUACCACCUUGUUGUGACCUGCCAGAGGAGCUGUCUGUCAUCGAUUGGCAACCCCACCACAGAAUGCAAGCCAAAGAUGGCAUGCCUCUUGACUAAAUUGUAGAGAAAUGUUCUGUUCAGCACUAGGAGGGGUUGAGGACAAAGCUCCAAGUGCCCUGCUACCUAACCACUUUACAGACCUAUCUCCUUUCAUCUUAGUUAUAUCCCCAAGGGGUAGGUCUGGGUUAUAAACCCUCACUUUGAGGACGCAAAGGUACACUAAGUAUACUGCCUUUCAGAGAUGGUCUGAGAUAGGAGUUAAAUUGACUGAUCUCUGAUUGCAUAUGGCCUUCUGCAAUGCCACGCCUCUCUUGAAACAUAUGGUUUUUGAUGCAAUAACAUUAACCUUUAAUCUUUUGUAUUGGGCAUACUGUUGAGGGCACAUCUAAGAAUCUCCUUGAGUGUAUUUUAAAACUUAAUGAGUCACAACCAUUCCCUUAAAACUACUAAGUUCCAGGUCUACUUUACUGUGUUCACCUAUUUCUAGACUUUAAUUUUCAGAGAGGUCUCGAGUUCACAGAACAACUGAAGAGAAUUCAUAAUCUUCCCAAGUGUGUUCCCCCAUCUCUCCCCUUGAUGAAGUGUGUUUUAUAACAAAUGAUUAACCAAUACUGCUGAUGAGCUACGGCCCCUGGUUUAUAUCAGGGUUCAUCAUUGAUGUGCUCUCUGAGAUUUCAUCAUGUGUAAGGCCAUGAACCCACCGUUACAGAGUCAUAUAGACGACAUCCCUUGCCCUAAAAUUCCUCUGUACUCCUAUUCUCAUGCCCCUGAAACGCCAGGUAAUCACCGGCCUCUUCUUUUUAAUAGUCAGACCUGUAUCAUGUACUCGGAGUCAGGAAACACAUAACCUCUUCAGAUUGGCAGGUUUUACUUAGCAAUAUGCGUUAAAGUUCCCUGUGUCUUUUCAUGGCUUUACUCUAUCUUAUGAACAUAGCACAUUUCAUUAAUUACACACCUCCUGAGGGUGUCCGAGUUGGUUUCAGUUUGGAUUGAGAUAGUCUAGGGCCAUUUAUCUCUUUAUUUUUUAUUUUUGAUCUAUUCUAUUAUCUAGCCACAUUAACUUGAUGUCUGUCACUUUGUGUGGAAGUCAUGUAUUAGUUGCCUGAUUAUUAUGCCCUUAUCAGGCAGCUCAUAGUUGAGCUUUUACCUCUGCAUAUGAACAUUAAAGUCAUUCUGUUAACAUUAAUAAAUCUUUCUUGGCUUUGAUUGGGGUUUCUCUGAAUCUACAUGUCAAAUUGGAAGGAUUGUGAAGUUAUAAGCCAGGUAAGUCUAUCCACAAAUGGAAAAGUUAGCGAUUAGAAUGGUGGCCUGGACACACAAUCAUUGUUCCAACCAGAAACUCAGUUAUAUUUGUAUCUUAUACAUAUCAUUAAGACAUCAAAAAUAAUGAGGUAGCCGAUAACUAAGAAAAGUUAAAAAGCGAACAGACUUUUUAAAAGUGAGAUAGCCACACACUCUGCUGUGACCUUCAUGUCUGUACUGCUUCUUCAUAACUAUGCAUGGUCCUGCUAUCCACUGAAGAAGGAGGGAUACCCUAGAAAUCUGCUCCCUCUAGCCAAGAUGCUAACACUCAGAAGAGAAGUCUACCAUGAUUCCUUCUUGUCUCAGUGGUCAGAGCUUAUUACUAACACUGUGGGAAAAGAGAGAUCAAAAGCCCUCUAUCUUGGUACUAAUCAUAGAUGGGGUCCAUGACAAAUACAACUCCAUGGCUUUGGAAAAUAGGGUGCUCCCAGAUUUCCACCAAGGAUGCUACACCUGUACACUAACAUCCUAACCUGUUUUCCUUUAUAGCCUCUCUCCAUGUGUUUUACUGAACGUAUCUAACAUCAUCUCCCAAUGUUGCCCAUCCUUGCUACUGUAGUUAAGAGUCACCAUACAUUCUGAAAGCAACAGAAGUAUUCUCACCAAGUGGUAUCCAUGCUAGGGCAAUACUCACUCUUUUGUCUCUAUCUGAAUAAUUUCAGAAAUCUCAUAGAGCACUUAUUCUCCAUAGAGUCUCUUCAGCUGGCAGAGAACUAGGCUUCUGAGGGGCUCAACAUAAUGACUACCAUAAUGAGGCACAAAAGACUACAUCAUACCAUUGCUGACAUUUCCUGAGCACUAUCUAUGAUUUGGGUAUAAGCUCAAUUGCUUCACAGGUUAAUCAUUCAAUCACACACACACACACACACACACACACACACACACACACACCUCACAUCACCUUACACACCUCACACACCUUAGUCCUAAUGGUUCUUCCAUUUUACAAAUGGAGGCACUGAGAAUAGAUAAGGUGAGUUGACUCUCCCAAAAUUGCACAGUCAAAAUGGUAAAGCCAAAAUUCAGACUUGGAUUAUGUAGGUACCACAGUGUUACACCAUUUUAACAAUUGUCAACCUGAAUGUGGCCUACUCUAAACUGCGGCUAGCUCAGAACAGAUCAGGCUGCUACUUAAUUGACCCUUGCUACUCUCACUCCACGGGCACUUCCACCCUCCUCACCUUUUAUACAUUCAUUAGGACCCUCCUCAAAUACCACAUGUCCUAAGAAGUCACAUUCACCAGCAGACUUAACAUUCCUUUUUAAAAGUCUCAACAGAUACAAAGAUGAAAAUAAAAAUAACUUCUUUUGCCAACAGGAACACAUUCUUAACACUUGGUACACAUAUUUCCACACUGCACAAAAAUAGUUACUGUAAACAUGUUCCCAUGUCAUUCAACAUUAACAGCUUAAUGUGUGAUUGCCCAACCUUCCAAUGCAUGAGUAUUCUAAUUAAAUAUCAUUUUAAACAUCAGAUCUCUCCAAAGAUUAACAUGGCCAGCUCAGCAAAAAUUUGUCACGACAAAUACCAACAGGCAAAGUUUUGGAACAUUGGCAGAGUGCAGGUCCAUGGCUCUACACCAGUUUCCCACAGUGCCUAGGCAAGAUGUAAAGACUGAUUCAUUAAUGGACCUGCAUUGGCCAAUGGCCAAGUCAUCUUCAUUACUGCCAAUAUUUAUUUUCUGGCAUGGAUUUUAAGCUCUAGAACAGAAGGAUAAUCAUCUUAACUUACCAUAUUUACCAUAUUGCAUUAUUUAACUAUUUAAAGGCUAGCCAUGAAAACAAACAGAUAUAAGUUCCUAACAUUGGUUCUUGUAUAUACAAAUUAAAAUUGGUACUUCAUGUUCAGUUUCAGUUCAGGACUAAUGUCCCAAUAACACCAGUAACAAUAAUCAAUGCUUUAUAAUACUUGGAUGCUCAUCACCCCAUUUGAUUUUCAAAACUACUGCAAACACAGAUAUUAUUAGAGAUUUGUAACAGAAGCCCAGAAGGCCCCAGGGGUUUAUCCCCAAUGGUCCCGGGGAAGUUAACAUUCAAGUCUCAGUGUUAUGUUUUAUAUUAGCAGUAUAAUGCAGUAUAAUUGUUGUGACCUUGGUGGGUCCAUGCUGAGGGACCCCCUGAACAUAUGGUGAUAUGACAGGCCUGGUGUAAAAGGAAGUUUACUGGGGGGAAGGGAAGAAGAACUGAAAAUUGGGUAGAGGCAGGGAAAAUGGGGGAGAAGGAUUGAGAGAGAAAAAGAGAAGAGAGGAAGAGAAGAAGAAAGGAAGAGAGGAAGAAAGAGGAGAGGCUGGCCAGGAAUAUGUGGGGACAGAAAAAGAGAAUGAGUAAAGAAGGGGAAGAGAUAGAAGGUGGUAACCAGUGGUUGUCAUCUAUGCCUGGCUUGUACCUGGUGGGCUGAGGCACAGCAGUUGCUAGGUUGCUGUUGGGUGGCACCUAGCAGAAUUGUCUGUAAGCUAACACUCAAACCUCCAACCAAAACAUUGUGCUCAUUUUAAAUCACAACAUGAUGCCUCUCCAACAUCCCUGCUCCACAGACAAUGGAACACUCCUGGACAAGGGUUCCAUAAUGAAAGAAAGUGAUAUCCAUUUACCUACAGGAUGCAGAGUAAGUGCUUCCCCGCUUCAUAGGCAACCUUCCAGAGAAGGCUCUGCCAUUCAUUCUAGAAUAUGGGCAUCCAACAUUUGAUACUGUGAUAUGACACUUGUUUACAAAUGUUUUGGAGUGCAUCUGAAGGCUUAAGACAACUGUUCUAGAAUACACUGCAAGAAAACCCAGACUCAUUUGACUUAAGCUGUGCAUGCAAACUGGGAUAUAUUUCUUCUCAGACAUGCUCCUCAAGUUCCCAGCUUACAAUCUUUCCAAGACAGCUUCAUUUGUCGCACAGCAUGGUGGCCCCAUAGCAAGAGCUCCAUCUGGGGCCCAGAUACCUCAGAAAUGCAGAUGAGCCAUCACAGUUAGAAACAGAUACACCUGUGGUCAGCAACAGAGACAAUAAGAACAUAACGAUUGGAAUUAAGAACCUUCAAUCCUAGACGAAGGGAGAACAUGGAAUAUAGACUUCAGGUUCAUUUGCAGAUGAAUAAUUUGACUAGAUCACAUCAAAAAAUCUAUAACCUGUGCAUAUGUGGAAUGAAAAAUGACUUAUUUGCUAAAUUUUAUGCAAGGGGUUCCUGGCGCCUGGAAGUUAUAUGCAGUUGUUAAAUGAAGGAGUAGAUAUUUUCUUUAUAUCCUGGUCUUUUUCUAAUGCUUUAAAUGUGGCAAUAGAAAUAUUUAGAUAUUCUGUAAUAUUUAUAGAAUAGCAUAAACAAUAAGAGGACCAUAUCCCUCAGCCUUCUAGGACAGAUUUUAUGAGAAGACCAGAGAACUCUCUAUUAGGUAGAUUCCAGAAUGUACUCUGAAGGGGACAAAGUAGAACCAGUACCCAAAUCACUAUGAUCCUUCUAUAACUGUUGAAUAUUUUGUAAAACACUAUUCCCUGAACUUCAACUGUAGAAACCCUGAUCUGUAUGCCUGAGAUGGAUCCCAGAAAUGGCACACAAGGAGCAACUCCCCAGGUGAUUGUUGUAGGUCCCUGUGAGCAUCUCUGAACAAGAUAAAGAUCUUAAAGCAGCUGCUAACCUUAAAUAAUUCAUUGAAAAUUCUCAGUGUAUGACAGCUAAAAAUCCCCAUGCCCAUGCCCCACCAAGACCAGAGGAAUCAGCCGUCAUCCUGGGUUGGAUGUGCUUGCCCUACUGAGUAGUGGGAAAAGCAAAGAGCCAGCAAGUCAAGUGUCCCUUACUUGAUCCUUGGUUCUAUCAUUCACCGUUACUAGUCGUCUUAUGCCAGAGUCCAUUCUUUCAUCAUAAAGGAGCAGAAAGACCUAAUUCAUUUGCUAUGGCAAACAUUCAGUAGGUAUAUACUUGAAUUUUUCCUUUUGUUAUUGUAACAUUCCACAAAGGAGGAAUGCUAUACAAUGGUACUUUCUAUACUAGUGAUUUUGUUAUAAACAGAAAGUCUACAGGGCAAGAUUAGAGAGAGAAAUCUCUAAUCUAUGCUCUAAUUUCUAGGUGUGUGCUAGUUCAUUGCUAGGUUAUCCCCAGCCUUUUAAAAGGGGACCUGGCAAUGUCUGCACAUUGAAUUCUGUCCUAUUCUUUUGUCACCCCACUUCAUCUAACUGCCCAUGCUAUGAGAUAAUAUAAACAGGACAGUGAGACAUUGAAAAAAGAAUAUCAAUGUCGUUCAGCCAGAGGUAUCUGUGUAAAUUUGCUGCAGUUGCUGCAACUCAGUAAUAUAAACUGUGUGGCUUCAACAGCAGAUGCCCAUUGUCUUAUGGAUUCUUGAAACAAACAUCCAAGAUCAAAGAACAGGUAGUACUAGUCCAUCCAACGUCUAUGAGAGACAAUCCGUCUCAGCUUCUUCCCAGAUUCCAGCAAUUUGCUGCCAACUUUCCAUGUCCCUGAAUUGUAGACACCUCACCCAAAUGUCUGUAUACAUCCUCACAUUCUCAGCUGUGGUUAAACAAUAACAAAAGGAAAUUCAAGAGGCCAGAACCACUAAACAGAAUCCAAUUCUUUACUAGGACAAUACAUACUGGUUAGCUGGAGCUGAGAAAUGAGUGGUGGUUAAGAAGAGUCCAGAGCAUCAUAAAGGUGAAAUCUUCUGGGAAGUAUUAUUUGGUGUCAUCACACAGAAGCAGUGGUCCAGAAGGGACCAAGGAUGUAUCUCAUGAUGUCAGCCAUACUUAGUAAGGUGCAAGAGUUUCCCAUAUGGUACUUGUUCUAAAGGCAUGAAGGGGUCAUGGAGAAUUGCUCAGGCUUGGCUUAGCUAAAACAGCUGAAACAGUACUUCAUCCAACACCUUUUGCUUCAGAAACUACCAGAAGGAAAUCCUUUAGCGAUCACGUGGAACUCACUCUCCUUCCACAAUGCAUCUGUGCCCUUCCCAUCUUCCUUCUGUACUUCUGGCUAAGCAGGAUUUAUCAAACAGUAAGUAGGGUGUUGCUAACCCUGGGCUGCUUCUGGGUGACUUGCUACUGGCUUAGAAAAUUGGGCAGACUGUCUUGAGUUUAGUGUUUGCCCCUAGUUCCCUCUUGGUUCCUGGACCUCAGCCCCCUAGUCUUGGCAAACCCUGUAGCCCUGGGUUAAGAACACAGUUCUGCCCAGCAGGUAUUCCAGGGCAGGCCCUCUAUAAAGCACCAUGUGUGCAGCAAAGUAAAAUGAAACUCCAACUCUUAUUUAACAAAUUCUGUCUCUUCUAACACAGACAUACAUUAGGUUAACUUUUUCCUAAUGUGUUCCUUUUACUUUUCCAAACAAAGCAGGGCACAGAAGACGUUUAGAAGAGCUAAGUAAGUGAAAUGACUUUUUAAAGGAUCUCUCACAGAUUGUUGUAGAGACGCAGUGGUGGUUAGGAAUACAUCUUGUCAUGGAUUCUUCACUGAAUGUGUUUAUUUAGUCCUUUUGGAGGAAUGAGCAUCCACAUACAUGCUAAGUGGAGGAGGGGAAAAAUUCAAAUAGACACCUGGAGACAAAAGCCAACUGCCCUGUGCUAAAAUGUGACUUCCUGGAUAGGACUGAAGACUAGACUCAACAUCCACAAGCAGCUACAGCCUGAGGCAUUUCCCAUGGGAAUACACCAGAGAGGCUACAACAAUGGGAAGCUCUGAGAGCAUUCAGAGUAAUUACAAACAGGUUUAUGGGGAACUCAGUACCCAAGAAUGCCUUUCCACGAUUCAGUAAGUUUAUGGCUCUUUCAGAGCUUGGCAAAUAUCCCUGAGCAGAGGAGAAGUUAUCCCCUUCAAAAUACAGAAAGUGCCUUGUGAAUAAAAAAUGAUAUCACCAUAGCAACACAUGGAUGUUUCCACUCAAAGUGGGCCUUCUAGGCCUGGCCUUAAAAAGACAGUGUCCUCUGAAGAGGACAGACAGGCCUAUGUCUUAGAUUUAAUAGUUGCCAAGGGGCCAGCUACAGAUCCUUAAAACAAUGGUAUAAACAAGAGCUCUCAGGGACUAGAGGCUUGUUCCAUACACAGAAGUCGAGGAAACCACCAUAAGGAACGUGGGCAAUCUUCAUUUCAGGUAUAUGAAGAGCCAUUAUUACUCCCAUGCUCUUGAAAUAAACCAGAAGCCUCCAAAGGUCAGAAUGCUGUCCAAGGUUACAGAUGUAUGUGGAAGAACCUACACUGUUAUAAACCCCAGAGGACAAAUUCAAACUCCUCAUGCUUCUCCACACUUAGCCCUAACACUUGGCUAACACUGAUCAUCCGCUGAGCCCAAGAUGGCAGUCCACCUGGAAGGCCCAAACCCUGGUACCAAAAUGACACCCUGCCUGCCAUGAAGUUAACUGUUCAAGUAGCCUCAAGGAAAAUACAUAGCCUAUGGAGUCUCUAGUCUGGGAAGUGAGGGUAUCUUGGGUUCCUUCCUAAGAGUAUCUGAGGGCUUAUGAUGCUCUGGGAAAUUUCAAGAAAACUGAUAUGUGGCUGGCCAACUAGCCCAAACUGUGAGAGGUCAGACCCAAAUUAAUAUCUGGCUAUGCUAGAGGCUUCCCUGGGUACAUUACAUGCAAAAUUGGCAGUUCAGGGGAGAUCUUGGCUUAGCAAAGAACUAACUAAUAAGUGAGAGGAAACUCUAUUUCACACAAUUUUUUCCAUUAAAGCUAAGAAUAUAUAGUCACUAUCUUCUAAUAAAGCUACAAAGCUGCAGUUGAGCCUACAAAAUGGCAAUCUUGACUAUUUGAUGAGACAGGACUCUGGGUCUGAUUAAUGUCAGUAUGAUGGUUGUAUAUUUGAAAGUAUUUUUAUAAUAGUUUAUACAAUAUCUUAAAGCUGUAGGUGAAAAUAUUUGCAUUUUAAAAUAGUUCAUAAGGUUAAAAGUUAUGUGGUAUUGGUGACUUCCUCAUAUAUAAUUUUUAAAAAACGUCUAAGAGGAGGUAAUGGAUGUGAUGGAAUAACCAACUCUGAGCUUGUUCUUCAUUCAUCCCCUUGUAAUCAGAUUUUUCUGCUCUUCUCACCAGUAGAUGGUGCUAUCUCUUGAACUUGGACUGUCUUUGUGCCUUGAUUCGACCAUGAAAAUCACUGAAAAUGAUACUACUUCAAUUUCCCAGGUCAGGCUUCAGGGACCUUGUGCACUUCCCAGUUCUCCACCACCCCUUUCAGUGAAUCUGAGAAAGACACUGCAGUGGAGUGAAGGAAUAAGAGACCUAGGCAAUUGUUAGUCAACCUCAGGACAUGAGAAACCAUCCUAAUCCUUCUUACUCACCGAUUACCCCAAAUGAUCAUACUCACACAAAGAAGCUCUGUUGAGAUCAGAUGGUCCUGUCCAGUUCAGUAUGAAUGCUGUGCUGACUCACCGACCCAUGCACCAUAGCAGAUAUUGGUAGAUUGAAACAACCAAGUUUAAGGAUAUUUGUUAUACAGCCAUAGCUAACUGAUACAGCAGGUUUCCCAGAGUAUGAAUGAAAGCUUUUUUCCAACACACCCACCCACGAGGCAGACAGGAGUUUGUUCUGUUCUAGAGUCUAUUCUUUAUAAGAAUAUACUACCAUAUCUGUUAUUUGAGUAUGUUAGGUGCUAGAGUAAACUUCUUCUGCUCUAAUUCCUUACUUAAUUCUGGUAGCAAAGUAUUCUCCAUAGCCACAUAGCCAUAUUGAGAUUUAAUAUUUUCGUAUUAGACGCCAGGAAAGGAGAAGUGGACUGAAGUCACAUGAUGUGUGACAUCAAAAAAGUAAAUCUAAGGAUAACUUAUCUCAAGCUCACAUGCUUAGAAAGCUCUGUUUCUAAUUUGUUCUUAAUUAGUUAUGCAUUGCAAGGUUUAAAAAGUUUCCACCAUGGCUGGACAGCAACUUCAUGUGCAUUUUUCCAGUAGGAGAGUCCAAGAGUAACUAAUCUCCCGAUUCCCCCACUGCAAGAGGACAAGCAGAGAAUACCUACUUCUUUCUGGUACCCAGGAAGGAAAGCUAUUUACUCCAUACAAACAUCAGGAGAUGGGUCUAAGCUAGGCUUAGAAAGCUUAAUCUAUGAGCCAGACAGUCAGUACUUCAGCUGUUAUUGUCUCGUUCUACCACACAACCAGCCACAGAAACACACAAAUGAGAGGGGAUAACUGGAUUUACCCUGCAAAAAGGCAGCAUUUACUCUACAAAAGAAGAUAGAGUUCAUCAAGCCAUAGCUGCAGGAUUGAACAAGGAAGGAGAAAUAUAUGGAAAUGUUAGUGCUCCUAUUCCCUAGAGUUAGGAAACAAUAAUAAAAGGUCUAUUAAAAGUGUCUUAAUAUUAAUAGCAUCUGAAUCAUCAAUCCUUUUUAUAAUAUGAGAGAUGAUUAAUUGUUUCUUAAUGAAUGGAUGGACUCAUCUUGAGUUACUUGCCAUAUAUGAGCUCCCAGCUCAGGAUGAAGAGGACAUAUGAGGCUAUAUAUUUUUCCCUUGAGCAAAAAAAAAAAAAAGAUGGUGGGAGGUAAGUCUAACAUCCAACACAGUUGUCAUAUAUAGUCAACUGUGCCAAUGAUCAUUCAAAAUAUAGUUUAACUGAUGGUAAUUCAAGCUUCAGAAACAGGUGUGAGCAAAGUUCUGAUUCUUCCACCGAGUGAUUUUUUUUGACAUCUUUAUAUUAGACAUAUUUUUUUCAAAACAUUGGCCUGUGGAGUGAAGCUGAAGACUAAACAAAACUGCCUACCACAAGGAUUCUCAGUAAUCACUGUCAAUCAAAUCAAAUGGUAACUCCAGGGACUCCCUUGCAACAAUACAGACCUGACCACUGCUUAUCUGGCAGAAUCAAGCAUCAAACAUUCAGACAGGCAUGGACACCCCAUCAAUAGACACCUCAGCUAUUACUCUUUUGUGUACAAAAGUAGGGUGAAUGGACAGAGAUUUCCUCUACAGGUCCUUUAAACACUUAAAUAUAAUUAAUCCACCGCCAUUUUCAGCUAAGUGCAUUCUUGCCUAUUAGUUAAAUAUGAAAAGCUAUCCAGCCGAUGUGCAAAGAACUGAACAGCUUUGAAUAGCAGUCACUUCCUUCUUAAUACCUAAGUUCAAUACUUGCAGACAUGGAAGGCUUUGUUUCCUAUUGGAAAUAGCAUUGUCAAAAUGAUAGCCACUAACAACAUGUAGUCAUGCAAACUAAAAUUGAGUAAAAUUUAAAAUUUAAUUCUUUGCUUGUAUUAGUCCCAUUUCAAGCUGCAUCACUAUAUGGUACAGACGGAGAAAAUUGUCACAGAAAUUCUAGACAGAGUGUUCUAGUUUAGAUUAACGCAGCAUAGGCUAUUCCGUUCAGUGAUUAAUUCAGAGACACUAAAGCUGCCAUCAGAGAAAUGGACUCUACUUUUGUGCAUGGUCCCUGGUUUUGAGGGUACACUGGGCCACAUGCAGACCAGAACAGCAGCAUCUACAAAUACCUGGCAAAUGACAGGUAGGGAUCAGUGGACAAAAAUCCCACCUGUCAUGGGGUCUAGCUUGGUCACUCUGAGUGACAUAUUAUCUUGAGGUUUCCAGAGUUGCUGGGUAACAGCAAACCCAGGUGGCCCAUGUGAUUGCCUGUUGGCUCACACCCCCCUUACUGGCUCAACUUGGGUUAGUUCUGAGGGAACCUAACUAAGACAAUUAUGUCAGUAAGACAGUCACAUUUAUCUUGGCACUGAAUGCUGCUGUCUGAGACCUAGUUAAUAUCACUGGUAAAAAUGACCACCAUUUGUGGAAUUAGCAUUUAAGAUCUCAGAAAAAAAGGUAUGCCUUUAACUGUCUUACUGGGUGUAUAUACUUUCUAUAUUUUCUGAGCUUUGCAGCACUCUUGUCCGUUUUUAUUUUAUUUUAUUUUUUUACUGUGUUGAUAUUUCUCAGCUUGAUCAUUUGCUUAAUUGCCAGUUCUACUUUUAGAACAUUUAGCUGUUUCCAAAAAUCAAGCCACUCUUCAGUGACAUCUGGCCUCCAUUGAGAAUACUGAAAAGAACAUGUCCCGGGCUCUGAAAGCAAUUCCCACAGUCCAGCUCUCAGGCCCUUUAGCCAAUAGCAAGUCAUUAGAAUAAAUGGAGCCCAGCCAUGGAGGGCAGGGCUGCUCAUUUCCCUUGUUUCCUGUGUGACUUCUGAAACCCAGUUUCUUCAUGGUCAGGUCUAUCUGCCCAUUUCUCUCACUACCUUUUUGUUCAGAUAUGGUUCCCAUCCCACAGAAUUCAACCACCAAAAGCAUGUGAUUUGGGCUGCAGCAGGUUACCAGGGCGCCGUCGUGGGAAGCAGGAGAGAAAUGAAAGCAUGGUUUACCAAUGAAGGAGAAAUGGAAACAGAAGGAGGAUCCUGGUAUCCAUAUAUGAGCACAUCAACGCAGUGGGAGCUCUCAUGGAAAUCAAGGAAACCAGUUAGCAAACUCGUAGAAGUAGGACCUGUGGCCUUGUCUUUUCCAGCAAACCCCUGACACCACUGCUUUCUUAGUAUCCUUUGGCUGAGCUAAGUGUGAACUGGCAAUAGGGCUGAGCCUCCGGCUAGGUGACAACAUUGCCCGGAGCCUCUGGCUACACAUGGAGCAGGGUGAUCAUCAGUACGUCUGUAUUUGGAAACAUACAAGGCAUGCAGAGGCCGGCACUACGAAGUGGCUAUGAGUAGGGCCACUCCCUCCCUUUGCCAGAAGUUUCCAUGGUCUCAUAGUUUGAAGGAUUUGUCCUCAGAUAUAAAACUCACUGCAGAACUACAGUGCUGGGAUCCUGGCAUAGCAUGGUUUCUCUCCAGAACAUUCCAUCCCUACUUGGUGUUGAGUGAAAAAAAAAACCCUUUCAAAUAAAUAUCCUCUUCUAAA